GCUCCAGUGGCAGAGUGUUCAAGGUCGUGACCGAGGACGGCAGUGAGCGUGCGAUGAAGAUAGUUUACUCCGAGAACAUGGCUGAUAUUACUGCUGUGGAAGCAGAGUUGACCACCCUGCGGUCCAUCAAAGCUGCCGGUGGCCACACUGUCACUGUAGUAGGCACGGCAGCU
rnacentral:ribozyme from 1 species